rnacentral:lncRNA from 1 species
ACGUUUUUCAUCAAUUUACUUUAAUUUAACUCUUGUGAACAAAUAUUGCAAACAUUGGUGCCAGUCAGAGCUCUCAACCUCUUGAGACGAUAGCAGCACUUUUGCACAAUGAUAUUCUCUUCUUUCCUUUUUCACAUUUAUUUAUGCACCAUUUUCUUCUCCCAGUUCUAACUAACUUCACUCAUUUUCUUAAUUUUUGUUUUCGAACCAGAAUUGUUUUUGUUGACGGAACCACCUUGCCGGACUUCUCCUUCCGCCGUGUUCUUCUUCUUUUCUAAUGGUAAGUCGCUUAUUAUUCCAUUAUUUUGCUCAGUUCAUGCUUCGAAAUUAAAAAUCCCUAAUUAUUAUUUUUUGAAAACCCUAAAUCCAACAAUACACCAUUUUCAGAUCGAUUGGAUUGAUGUUUGUUGAAAAUUAUCACAUUGCCAGGUUUGUGUCUCAAAAUCAAUAUAGACAAAAAAUAAUAAUUAGUGUAGGUAUAGUUCUUGCAAGAUGAAGAAAAUUAACAAUCUAAUAGAAGAUUUAUGAUGAAAUUACAUAUAUUCAUAUCAAUGAAUAAAUUUGAAAUUAGGGUAAAUAGAAGGAGCGGCUAUUCAUGGCAAUUAGGGUGCUCAUGGUUUUGGAUCCACACACUUGAAGAAAAGAGCAGCUGGUAGCUGUUAAUCUGCCGCGGUUAUGCCAAAUUGCUCCAAAUUCAAAAUCUGCGGUGUGUUAAAUUGCGGCUUCGAUAACCAGCUUAGAUUAAAUGCUAGCUUUGGCAAUACAUGAAGCACGGAAACAGUGGACACAUACAUUGACACACCGGCACCGAUAAUAAUUAGAGUAACUGACAUAAUUCAAUGUAAUCAUAUGUGUCGGUGUCAGAUAUUGACAGGUGUGGAUCCUCUUCCAUGAAAAGUGUCUACAAUUUAAUCUCAACCACACAUUAUUUUUUUGUAGUUGGUUAUGUAAUAAAAAAAACAUUGAAUGGUGAGGAUAAAAUACACACUGGACCCUUGCAGUGAAAUCCUUACUGGAGAGGAUCCCGGCCCGAUAUCGACACGUGUCCGAUAUUGGGAGAUGCCUAAUCUGAUGAGUGUCAGUGCUUCACAGGUGGCGGUGAAAUGACUUUUGUGGCGGUCAAGUAGAUCGAAAACUUACCUAGUGUAUUGUAACUUUUCCACUUGAGGGGAUGCUUACUACCUUGUUUUCCCAUCUAUUUAGGAUAUUCUAGGAUUGUGUUUUAAGAUUGUUUGUAUUAGAAAUUUCUUAUCCUCCAGUUUUCUAACUGGCGUGGAAGAUUCUCUUGAUGGGAUGCUUUUUUUGCUUUGGUUUUCAUGUGGUUGCCAUGUUUGGGUUUCAAGAUGAGUCACACAACCUUUGUCUAGAACCAUAAUCGGGAAUAUCUUUCUUUACAUUCUUUUUAUCGUUAAGGAGGGUAUACAUGUACAUAUUUAUAUCUUCACUGUUUUAAUUGAUACCUUGCGUAAAAAAGGGAAUGCUAUUAGAAGCUUAAGAUGGUUCAUAUAAAAAAUAAUCUCAAGGUGUGUUUAAUAAAAUGAAGAACCUAUUUAUUUUUGGUUCAUAUUUUCUCUUGAAGUUUUAAAAAAUAUAUAAACAGGUAAUAAACUCCCCUGUUUUGCAUAUUGUUCAUUUCCCAAAAUACUCUAGCAGACAAAACUGAUUUAUCUGAAGGUUGUUGAUUCAUUGGCUUUAUUUGGUGAGGUUUCUUGUAUGUAGCUCCCUUCUUUGUUUCACUGUCUUAAAUGUUAUCCCAUCUAUAGAAUUUAAAUGAGUUAUAUGAUUCCUGUCAUUAUGAACUGAGUUUGAAAAAUGUGCACCAAUCAGUCAUUGACUGUCUAAGCUAUUAAUUUCUUCAUUUUUCUUUACAAUCAUCCGAUGUCUUUAGAGGGAACCUUUUUUUAUUGUCUGUUGUGUGGUCAUCUUGUCACAGGGUCUCAUGUCAAAGUUUGUGAAUUUAACUGCCCACAAUUGAAUGUCGCAAUGGAGGUUUGGCACUUAUGAUCAUUCUGGUCAUCAUGUCAUCGAAGAAUUAUAUGCAACGAGUUAAGAUUGUAGAAGGAGAGGGAGUCAGUACCUCUUUUUCCAGGCCUGUUCGGGCAUANNNN